CCCCACCCUCUCCUGACAUCCAUUCUGCAGACAUAAAACUAUAAAACAAAACCUUCUGGAACAAAACAUGAGGGAAAUAAUGGAUCCAGGUUAAGCAAUCAGCUAUGAGCAAGAUACCUUUGAGAAGUGUAAAGAAAAACCAGAUCACUGGAUUAUGACUUUAAUCAAAAUGAGACAGAUGAACCACUCAGAACUUCACAGUGUUUCUGCCAUCACCAUCACAUUGUGCCUAAGCAUAUUAUUCUGAGAUCUGCAAAAGAUUUUGAAUGUGUUUGACAUACAGUAACAAACAUCAGGUUGACAGACAUAUGGUAAAAGGCAGGAUAAUGUGAAGGAAAGCACAUUGGUUUCGAAAUUGGAACAGACCUCGAUUUUGCAGUUAACUCCCUGUGGAAACUUGGGCAACUCACUUAUUCUCCCUGAGCAAAAUUAUCUCAUCUACAAAAUGGAGGUAAUACUUUUCAAUUCGCAGUGAGUGUGAGGAUCAAUUUGAGGACACUAUAUACAAAAGGAUUUUAUAAACUCUAAAUCACUGUAUAAGCCUAGAGUAUGACUGUUUUUCCUCAUCACUACCAGACUAAUUUAUUAAACUGCUAAUUGGUGAUGUUACAGAAAUUCAUCAUUAACAUUUUGUUUCAUCAAGUUCUAGAGCAGUGAAUCUGAACUUUAUUUGAUUGUAAAUGUAAAUGAAGAUAACAAAAAAGAACAAUGAUGAUGACAGCUAUUACUUAUUCGUGCUAACUAUAUGGCAGGCACUAUCAUAAAAGUUUCACACAUACUAUAUCACUAAUUUUCAUAACGCCAUGAGGUAGGUUCUACUAUUAUUUCCACUUAGCAGACAGGGAUGGCAAGACACAGAGAAGUCAUCCAGUAAAUAGAGGAGCUGGACGGAUUCCAACCCAGGCAGUUUGGCACUAAAAUCUAUGUUUUAAACAACAUCCUCAUCCCUGAGUAAACAGACGCUCAAAUUUCAUAGUUUCCCUGAAGAUCUGUGGAUUACAAAUUUAAAGCUCCCACUUUGCAGGAAAAUAAUUGUCCACAGUUAGUUUUCUUCAGAAUGUAUGGUUCAGUUACACAUAUUUUUUUUUUCGUAACACUGCAGCUGUAUUUCAGGAGAAACACACAUAUAGAGACCUAAAAUGGAAUUUCCUAUUCCUCACUUCUACCUUCCCUCCUUUUUAUCCUGAUUAUAUGUGAACGCCUGUGUUUGAAAAUGUGAACACUAGAGAUCAAUGUGCUCCACUCUUUCCUGCCAGCCUAUGAGGUUCUCUUCUAUCAAGCUGGCCAGGUAACUCCUUGCUGAGAACAGCAUGAAUGUUCACAAUGCACUGCUGCUCAGUCCUUAAAAGUGAAUAUUGUUUGGAUGAACGUCGUCCUACUUCAGAAAUCAAAGAGCCUCCUCCAGAGUUGGCAGCCCAUAGCUCUUAGGAAAUCUAAACAGCUUCCCUAACUCACAGGGAAACCUGCUACCAAAAGAAGUACAUAUGGAGCAAAUGUACAGUGUUGCUCAAAACGGCCAUCCUAGAUAACAAUUUUCAGUUGGCAAACUCCUUCCCAAAAUGUUCACUCCAGGAAAGAGAUGCUUAAGAAGGCAGAUACGUGAAACCACCACUGUAUGCCAAGGUGCCCUGGAAGAUGUGUGAGGCCUCUGACGCCGGGAGGCCCCAGCUAGAACAGGGAUUCUGAGGUCACAACUUUCAUUCCAGAAGUCUUUCUUUGGAUUGCACGUAGCUCAUUCUUAUAUAUAUUUUGUGGAAUGAGAAAAGAGAAGAUUUCAGCAGCAUAUAGCUCAACACUCCUAUGAAGUCAUUAUGGAAGAAUUACCACACUCCAGAGUGUCGGCUUUUUACCUUGACAACAUUUCCCUAGAAAUAAAAAGCAGAGGUUAAAGAAUGUGCUCAAGGUUACUCUGUAAGGAAGUAAUGGAGCCAGAAUGCACGGACCAUCUGGAACCCUGAUACCAUCAGGAACACAAAAAUGGAUGCUAAUCAAAGAAGCCUCUUGAUCUCUUGAUCUUCCUGCUGCCUCAUUUCUUUAUUUAAUAGCAGGUGGACAUCCACCUCAGAGAGGGCUGAGAUACAGGCAGCUGUGGCAGAGCCAUCUGGCAAGAUUCUGCAUGGCCCUCUGUUUCAUGCCCUUAUUUUUAUUUAUUUAUGUUUUCUGAAACAGAGUCUCGCUCUGUCGUCCCAGCUGGAGUGCAGUGGCACUAUCUCAGCUCACUGCAACCUCCAUCUCCCCAGCUCAAACAAUUCUCCUGCCCCAGCCUCCUGAGUAGCUGGGAUUACAGGCAUGUGCCACCACGCCUGGCUAAUUUUUAUAUUUUUUUUAGUAGAGAUGGGGUUUCAUUAUGUUGGCCAGGGUGGUCUCAAACUCCUGACCUCAGGUAAUCCACCUGCCUCGGCCUCCCAAAGUGCUGGGAUUACAGGCAUGAGCCACUGUGCCUGGACUUCAUGCCCUUAUUCUUACUGUAACUUUAAACUGGCCUCUGAAUUUGGACUUGCUUGGACCUCCAAGCUCCUCCUUGUCUUCCCGGCCAAUCCAGCCCUCAGAAUUGCUAGCUGGGUUUGUUCUCCAGUCAUUUCCUAGUUUCCAGAUAUCUAUUCUCAUACUGCUGUGGACUCCAGUCCAGCACUAGGCCACUCCCUCAUAUUCUCUUCCCACUUACAAGGCAGGGUAGAGAACAUGGAAUCUGAAAGUUGAUCUCCUCCCCUGGAAGCUCACAGCAUAACCAGAAAUUCAAAACGCAGAUUUGCGAAACAACAGAUCACAAUACCAAGACAGCUUGUAAACAUUGAGAAUGUGUGAAGAUUGAACAAAGAAGCAGAGAGUUCAAAGGAAUUCAACAUAAAUCUAGGCUAUUUUCUAGGAGCCUGGUGACAGCUGAGCUUUCCUCUUACUGACAAGUCCAGAGCAAUGCAACCUCCCCAGUGGCCAGAGUUUUGACUUUCAAUACAGAUUAGCUAACUACCGACCAAUGAACAAGCCCAUAUGCUUUUAGCAGGUAGUAUGCAAAAGAAGCCCACAGGGCUUCUUUAUUUAUUUAGCUGGAUAAUGCGUCUCCCUAGGAUCUGUGCAGGGAGGAUAGCUACUUCUGAGGAUGCAAUGACAUGGCUUUUAGCUCAAACCUUGACAUGCCACCCCUCCCUCAUUCCUUUUCUUACCCCACAAUCAUUACCUUAAAAAGAAUUUUCACUUUAGAAAGUGACCUUGCUGGGCUGAAGCUUGAAGUUUUAAAAGCCCCCUAAGGUUUCAUUUUGAAAAGUCAUCAUGGACUUUAGAUUGACUUUCUCUUGAAGGCAGCUUAAACCUUGUUCAUUUGGGAGCACAAAAGAGAAGGUUUAGGAAUCCCAAGGCUUUAAUUGCCAGCUGUCUUAUUUCUCUGUUCACAUUUUUUUUCUUCUCUCCAGGAAGACUAAGAUGAGUGAAAUAAUUUCUUUCUUUUUAGUUAUCAUUGUAACAUUCAGGUUUUCCAUUACUGUCAAUUUCUUGAAACUUGUCUCAUUAGCAUUUUCAGAAGAGUUUAAAAAAACCUUUCAUCAAGGAAAAAAACGUGCAUGAUAUCUAAAUGCAAGUAAGUUGUCACGGGAUUUCAUUGACAUAAAUUUGUCCUCUCUUGUCUUCAUUUCUGCUUUCUCAGUUCCUCUUUUGAUAUCUUACAGCAAGCUUGUCCAACGCAGCCCAGAAUGGCUUUGAAUGAGGCCCAACAAAAAUUCACAAACUUUCUUAAGAACAUUAUGAGAUUGCUUUUUGGGAUUUUUUUUUUUUUAAGCUCCAUCAGCUAUCGUUAGUGUUAAUGUAUUUUAAUGUAUUUUAUGUGUGGCCCAAGACAAUUCUUCUUCCAAUGUGGCUCAGGGAAGCCAAAAGAUUGGACACCUCUGUUUAGAGCCUAGGAACCAUACCCAUGGCUCUUUACAGACUUGGAAAUAAGUGCCCUAGAUUAACAAAUAAAGCAUCUUAGAAGCAAGGUGUAAAGACGGACUGUGGGGCUUUUAUACCCCCUAAAACUUCUAAGAACAAAGAAAGAAAUGCCAAAAAGCCCAAUAGAAGCAACAAUAUAAAUAACAAAAUAACAUUCUAGAGGAAAUCAACCCAUGACUACAGGGUUUUCUGCAAGCUUCACAUAUUUUGUGUGUUUUUAAAAGAAGGAGAGCUGGGUUAGUGAGCAAACCUAAGGAGUCCUUAUUGCCAAUACAACUAGCAGGUAAGAGCUCCCUGGUGUUACACCUCAGUGAUGGAGAUUAAUCAACUCUUUAUUUCUCCUAACCCAAAAGUGCUUUUGUAAAUGCACAUGGAUUAGCACUAAGGAGCUAAUUAUCUUAUAAGCUGAGAUCACUUUUCCAAAGAGACAAACUCUCCCAGGAUCUAGAGCAGCAGCCUCUUUUAUAGCAUUUCCUGGAAAUGGAGACAUUGACUUGGAAGUUGCAUCAGCAAAUUGAGCAUGCAUUCUCCUGUGGGAACAUUGCAAGUUAGGAAAUGUGGGUCUCGUAUGUGGCCACAGAGAGAGAAGACAUGCAGACUGAAUGGUUUUCAAGCCAAAAAUGCAGAAUUGGCAAAAUCUAGAGUUGCUCACUCCUUAUCUCCUAGGUGAUGUUUUCUUCCAGCUCCAUUUGUUAGAAAUUGUGUAGUACCCACAGGACAUAGAAAGUAUUGUUUUAAGAGAGCCAGCAUUUUUGAAACAGGAAAGGUUCCCUUGUCCCCCUUGCAGGGCAUGCAAUGGGGGUGUGGCUCACUUCUUCAGUGCCCCGCUGCUCAAACCUCUAGGGGAGCAUACAGAUGGGCAGGCUGUGGGGCUCCAAUCCCACGGCAGUGUCUCGGGGUGAAAGUUUACAGGUGAAGCCCCAGUGGGCAUGUAUUAUAAGAUGCUCUUUUAGUUUGUCGUCUAUAGGCGGCUUGUAUUAACCAGCUCAGUUAGACCCUCUACCUUGUCACAAGGACAGAAGGUUUUCUGUAUCCCGGGUUCUUGCCUUGGUGUACUGGAAGAAUCGGAUCACAUGUGGGCUUGGAGAAUGAGUGCAAAGUUUUAUUAAGUGGAAGUAGCUCUUAGCCAAUGGGGGAGCCAGAAGGGAGAUGGUUUUCCCCUGGAUUUGGGCCACUCAGCAGCCCCGGCUCGCCUCGGACUGCCCUGGCCGAACUCUUCCUCAUCCUGCCAGCUGAUGGCCUGUCAGUGGGCCAGCCUCUGUCAGUGUGUUCUUCUGCUCACUAGCUUCUCUCGACGUCCUCUCGACGACCACUUGUUUCUUCUUCCACAGAUGUGUUCCUCUGGACAUCUGGCCUCCUGUGUGAGUGCUUGCUAGGGUUUCAUGUUUUUAUAGGCCCAGGAUGCGGAUGUGGCCCACCAGGGUGAUCUUGGGAAAUACAACAUUUGGGCAGGAAAUUCCUGUCCUCACCUAGGCCCGUAGGGGUGGAACCCUAGCCAGGGGCCCGCCUUUCUCUACCCAGCACUUCCCUUCCCCCUCUUCCUUAUUAUUUAAAGGGACCAUGCUCUUCCCUUCCCAGUACUCUCGUAUCAUUUUGACUGGAAAUUUCUGCUCUACCACUCUACUGCAAGAGAGAAGGUAGAACCUAGAGUACGAGUUGCUCACAAUCUGAGAUGAGCAGCUUCCUAGGCAGGGCUUUCUAAAUGUGGUGAAAACAGACAUUGAAGAGGGCACCUGGUUUUAAGCCUCUGUCAUUUCACAUACCCUUUAUUUACAAACUCUACUUUUUGUAUGCCCAUUGAAGUUUUACCUUGUUUUGUGAAAGAAAUUAUUUUGUCUAAUGAGGUUUAAAAAAUCCAUCUUCUGCAAUCCAUCAUAGGCUUCUAAAUUUUUUCCCCUAAUUCAAAAAAUAUUCAUUGACUACUUGCUAUGCUCCAGGCAUAGUUCUAGACACUGAGGAAUCAUUCAUGAACAAAAUUAACCAAAUCUCUGCCUUCAGGGAGUUUCCAGGCAAGGACAAAUUACAAAACAAAUAAAUUAUUAAGUUAUUUGAUGUAUUAGAAGGUGAUAAACAUUAUGGGAAUAAAUGAAUCCUAAAAGGAGGUUAGAGAGUUGAGGAAGGGGAAGGUUUCAUUUCAAAUGGGGUGAACAAGACAGUUUCACUAUAAUGAUGACAUUUGAAGAAGGAGAGGGAAUGAGACAUGUGGCUACCUGGGGAAGGUGGGGUGCGGGGCAGUGCGGGAAAUGAUCUAAGCAGAGGGAAAAGUACAAGCAAGCACCCUGAGAAGAGUUCAUGCCUGUAGAACAAUGCAUGAGGGGGAGAUGCAUAAGGGGUCACAUUGAACUUGGUAGCUCACUGUGAAGGUUUUGACUUUUUAUGUGAAGUAGGAUGGGACUCCUUGGAGAGUUUUCAUCAGAAGAGUAACAUGAUCUGACUUAAUAUUUUUAAAAGAGCUUCUGGCUCUAAUGUUAAAGCUAGACGCUAAGACGAUAGAGGUCAAAACAUGAUUUUGUAUUUUUCUGGCAAUUAAGAUAAAAUACAUUAGGUAAAAUAAAUUGGGUGGGCAGGCAUGCAGGGUUACAUCUAUAUAAUCUGUCUUCAAAUGCUUGUCUUGACUUCCCAGAUGCAAAUCUUUUUAUAAAGUCACCCUUCCCUCUUAAAUUUCCCAGAGUUUGAACCUGGAUCAUUCUUUAUCAGAAUAAUAUAGUUGUACUUUUUAUUGCUCUUGAAAAAUUAAAAGAGCCUAUAACCUUAAGGCCUUUUUCUUAAUGCAGAAAAGUAGAAGUUUUAACUAGUUUCUCUAAAUGCCUAAGAAUAUAAGAAGCAUUUUGAGACAGCUAAUGACCUGUAUAAGAUAAGAUAUCUUAAGUGUUCUGGCACAGAUAUUCCUAAGAACCCAAUUUGCUAACAAAUACAGCAGUGGCCAUAAUUCUAUAAAUGGGAAUAGUGGUAGGGAACCUAGUGGUCACCAUCCCAUUUUACAGAUGGAGAAGCAGCCCAAGCUCACACAACUAAGAAGUGGCAGAGUUGAACUUCAACUCUGCUCUGUCUAGCUAAAAGCCUUUCACCAGUGGUUUCUGGCUAGAGUAUUCUGCAGCUUCUUUUGUAGGAAGCUUAUUUUAAAGCAUGUCAAGAAUCUAAAUUAGCUUCUUAUUCCACAUUCUACACUUCCUUAGGAAACAAACUUUUAUUUCUCCCUUUAAAUAAAAAAAGCAAAACAAAAAGACAAGGGGUAUCAUUGGCCAUCAUAAUGGGGAGAGAAGUUGGAGACAGAAAGGCUAAAAUCAAUCAAGCUGAGAGGCCUGAAAACUAAUGCCUGUCCCAUGGUCCCCUCUUAAAUUGUCUAGUCACAGCACAGGACAGGCACCACAUGCCAAGUAACAUUACCCAAAGAUGAACCAAACCUGAAAAGGCAGCUGACUUUGCCUUCCCCAGUGCUAAAACUUGUUAAAGGAAUUUACUAAGUCUCAGAGGGUGUGAACUGAAAUAAUCUCCUUCAUCCUGAACUGAAAGAAGUGAUAAAAACCAAGAGACAGCCAAUGGCCUGGGUAGGGAGCAGUUGGCUUUCAGAAAAUAAAUUGAACACGUACAGACAACUCACACUUCCAACAAUUCCCCUCUGAAGAUGCAGGUGUCCUUCUGGGUAAAGUCCAUCAAACCUGACCUUUAAAAAAACAGAAUGAUUGGCUAAUUAUCAUCAACUGUUUUUUAAAUCAAUCUGUCAGAAUUCAAAUAGAGCAAUUUUCAGGGUAUUCUAAAAACUGAAUUUAAAUAAAAAAUAGCAAUUAUUUCAGAAUGACGGUAGGAGUCAUGGUGGCCCUUGCAGUACCUGUUGCAACCUUGUGUGGGAAUCAUUCCUGAGCCUGACUUUCCCGCUUGGGACACAGAGAAUGCAAGACCAGGCAGGCAGCUGCUGAUUUGGUACCAGUCACUUCAGGAAAUCAAAGAAAGCUGGAAAGUUGUUGGGAGCUAGUUUUGCUGGAGAGCUCUCAGAAAGAGGCGCCCAUCAUGACUGCCCUGGGGUUUGCUUGAGAAGUAACCAGACUCCCAGAGCAGGGGGAAAAGAGGCACCUGACCUGAAAAUAAAGAUUUGAGGCUCUGAGGAACAGUUUCAGGUGCUGUAGAAGGGAGCAGCAGGUUCUAGGGGAACCAAAGGGUUCAGAGAAGCAACCUCCUCUUCCUGCUACUGCCACAAAGACUCACCUUCAAGGGAAUGUCUUGCACUGCCUGAACAUAAAAAUUACUCUAAGUAGGAAAAAGUGUGUUUAUUCUCUGAAAAAAGAAAAUUCACAAUAUUGAGUGCUCAGAUUUCUCCCUCUCAGGCUGUCAUCUAUAUGCACAAAGUGUUUUGACUUUACAGUUAAAAGAAAAUCCCAAGGGUAAAAUAGUUUUUACUUUUUUAAGACACGUGUUUUCUAUUUUUUUCUCUUUUCUUGUGUUAAAGUUGGAAAUGAGUUACGAAAAAAAGAAGUACUUGUUUAUUUCCAGAUGGAGUGGGUUAAAGAGAGAAAGGGAGGAGCUCACCAGGAUUGAUAUGGGGACACUGGGUAGCCUCCGGACACCUCCAGAAGAAGGGAUUAUUGAGAAAGUAUAUUAUAUAUUUAAAAACAUUUUCUUAAACACCAUGGGGGAAGGGGAUGAGGUUGGGGAAUACGUUUUUACUUCUAAACAACCAUGUAUUCCAGAGUUGUCAAAUAAACAUUAUUUUUAUUUCA
rnacentral:lncRNA from 10 species